CCUACGGGGGGCUGCAGUCGAGAAUCAUUCACAAUGGGGGAAACCCUGAUGGUGCGACGCCGCGUGGGGGAAUGAAGGUCUUCGGAUUGUAAACCCCUGUCAUGUGGGAGCAAAUUAAAAAGAUAGUACCACAAGAGGAAGAGACGGCUAACUCUGUGCCAGCAGCCGCGGUAAUACAGAGGUCUCAAGCGUUGUUCGGAAUCACUGGGCGUAAAGCGUGCGUAGGCUGUUUCGUAAGUCGUGUGUGAAAGGCGCGGACUCAACCCGCGGAAGGCACAUGAUACUGGGAGAAUAGAGUAAUGGAGGGGGAACCGGAAUUAUGGGGGUAGCAGUGAAAUGCGUAGAUAUCGAGAGGAACACUCGUGGCGAAGGCGGGUUCCUGGACAUGAACUGACGCUGAGGCACGAAGGCCAGGGGAGCGAAAGGGAUUAGAUACCCCUGGUAGUC
rnacentral:rRNA from 1 species